GGGCCUGUAGCUCAGCUGGGAGAGCGCCGCGUUCGCAAUGCGGAGGUCGUCGGUUCGAUCCCGUCCAGGUCCACCA
rnacentral:tRNA from 1 species